UGGGGAAUCUUCCGCAAUGGGUGCAAGCCUGACGGAGCAACGCCGCGUGAGUGAAGAAGGUUUUCGGAUCGUAAAGCUCUGUUGAGAGGGACGAGAGGCAAGGCUAGGAAAUGAGCUUUGUAGGACGGUACCUUUCGAGGAAGUCACGGCUAACUACGUGCCAGCAGCCGCGGUAAUACGUAGGUGGCAAGCGUUGUCCGGAUUUAUUGGGCGUAAAGCGAGUGCAGGCGGUUCAAUAAGUCUGAUGUGAAAGCCUUCGGCUCAACCGGAGAAUUGCAUCAGAAACUGUUGAACUUGAGUGCAGAAGAGGGGAGUGGAACUCCAUGUGUAGCGGUGGAAUGCGUAGAUAUAUGGAAGAACACCAGUGGCGAAGGCGGCUCUCUGGUCUGCAA
rnacentral:rRNA from 1 species